rnacentral:rRNA from 1 species
CCUACGGGAGGCAGCAGUAGGGAAUCUUCGGCAAUGGGCGCAAGCCUGACCGAGCAACGCAGCGUGAAUGAAGACGGCCCUAGGGUUGUAAAAUUCUGUUUUAAGGGAAGAAAGGUGAGAGGAGGAAAUGACUAUCAAUUGACGGUACCUUAUGAGAAAGCCACGGCUAACUACGUGCCAGCAGCCGCGGUAAUACGUAGGUGGCAAGCGUUAUCCGGAUUUAUUGGGCGUAAAGGGCGAGCAGGUGGUUAAUUAAGUCUGAUGUGAAAGCUCACGGCUUAACCGUAGAGGGUCAUUGGAUACUGGUUGACUUGAGGGCAGAAGAGGGAAGUGGAACUAGAUGUGUAGCGGUAAAAUGCGUAAAUAUAUGUAAGAACACCAGUGGCGAAGGCGGCUUGCUGAGUCGAUACUGACAUUGAGGCACGAAAGCGUGGGGAUCAAACAGGAUUAGAUACCCGAGUAGUC